GACGCGUUGGCCCAUUGAUUGACGGUGCUUGCACCUGAUUGAUUUCCGUUAAAACGAGUGGCGGACGGGUGAGUAACACGUAGGUAACCUGUCAAGAAGCGGGGGACAACAUUUGGAAACAGAUGCUAAUACCGCAUAACAACGUUGUUCGCAUGAACAACGCUUAAAAGAUGGCUUCUCGCUAUCACUUCUGGAUGGACCUGCGGUGCAUUAGCUUGUUGGUGGGGUAACGGCCUACCAAGGCGAUGAUGCAUAGCCGAGUUGAGAGACUGAUCGGCCACAAUGGGACUGAGACACGGCCCAUACUCCUACGGGAGGCAGCAGUAGGGAAUCUUCCACAAUGGGCGCAAGCCUGAUGGAGCAACACCGCGUGAGUGAAGAAGGGUUUCGGCUCGUAAAGCCCUGUUGUUAAAGAAGAACACGUAUGAGAGUAACUGUUCAUACGUUGACGGUAUUUAACCAGAAAGUCACGGCUAACUACGUGCCAGCAGCCGCGGUAAUACGUAGGUGGCAAGCGUUAUCCGGAUUUAUUGGGCGUAAAGAGAGUGCAGGCGGUUUUCUAAGUCUGAUGUGAAAGCCUUCGGCUUAACCGGAGAAGUGCAUCGGAAACUGGAUAACUUGAGUGCAGAAGAGGGUAGUGGAACUCCAUGUGUAGCGGUGGAAUGCGUAGAUAUAUGGAAGAACACCAGUGGCGAAGGCGGCUACCUGGUCUGCAACUGACGCU
rnacentral:rRNA from 1 species